GACGAACGCUGGCGGCGUGCCUAAUACAUGCCAGUCGAACGAGAGCGACCGGUGCUUGCACUGGUCAAUCUAGUGGCGAACGGGUGAGUAACACGUGGGUAACCUGCCCAUCAGAGGGGGAUAACAUCCGGAAACGGAUGCUAAAACCGCAUAGGUCUUCGAGCCGCAUGGCUUGAAGAGGAAAAGAGGCGCAAGCUUCUGCUGAUGGAUGGACCCGCGGUGCAUUAGCUAGUUGGUGAGGUAACGGCUCACCAAGGCCGUGAUGCAUAGCCGACCUGAGAGGGUGAUCGGCCACAUUGGGACUGAGACACGGCCCAAACUCCUACGGGAGGCAGCAGUAGGGAAUCUUCCGCAAUGGACGCAAGUCUGACGGAGCAACGCCGCGUGAGUGAAGAAGGUUUUCGGAUCGUAAAACUCUGUUGUUAGAGAAGAACAAGUGCUAGAGUAACUGUUAGCGCCUUGACGGUAUCUAACCAGAAAGCCACGGCUAACUACGUG
rnacentral:rRNA from 1 species